AUCACGCCUGGGUGGGCACUCUGAAGGAACUGCCGGUGACAAGCCGGAGGAAGGUGGGGAUGACGUCAAGUCCUCAUGGCCCUUAUGGGCUGGGCUACACACGUGCUACAAUGGCGGUGACAAUGGGCCGCGAAGGGGCGACCUGGAGCGAAUCCCCAAAAACCGUCUCAGUUCGGAUUGCACUCUGCAACUCGGGUGCAUGAAGUCGGAAUCGCUAGUAAUCGUGGAUCAGCACGCCACGGUGAAUACGUUCCCGGGCCUUGUACACACCGCCCGUCACACCAUGGGAGUUGGUUCUACCUUAAGCCGGUGCGCUAACCGCAAGGAGGCAGCCGACCACGGUAGGGUCAGCGACUGGGGUGAAGUCGUAACAAGGUAGCCGUAA
rnacentral:rRNA from 1 species